rnacentral:rRNA from 1 species
AACGAACGCUGGCGGCAUGCCUAACACAUGCAAGUCGAACGAGACCUUCGGGUCUAGUGGCGCACGGGUGCGUCACGCGUGGGAACCUGCCCUUAGGUUCGGAAUAACUCUCCGAAAGGGGUGCUAAUACAGGGUAAUGUCUUCUGACCAAAGAUUUAUCGCCUUUGGAUGGGCACGCGUUGGUUUAGCUAGUUGGUAGGGUAAAAGCCUACCAAGGCGACGAUCCAUAGCUGGUCUGAGAGGAUGGUCAGCCACACUGGGACUGGGACACGGCCCAGACUCCUACGCGAGGCAGCAGAGGGGAAUAUAGGACUAUCGGCGAAAGCCUGAACCAGCAAUGCCGCGUAAGUGAUGAAGGCCUGAGGGUUGUAAAGCUCUUUUACCCGGGAUGAUAAUGACAGUACCGGGAGAAUAAGCUCCGGCUAACUCCGUG